rnacentral:ncRNA from 2 species
UUCACUGACACGGGGUGCUCCGCACGGGCGGGGCUGAGAUCACACCCGGGAACCUGCAUCAGGUAAUGCUGACGAAGGGAUGUCAAGGCGAUGACUA